UCGUCGAAACCUUAUGGUUCCUUUGAUCUUGAGAAACCAGCAUGCUUGAAACUUCAUGACUUGCUUCAUGAAGAGUUGGUAGUAUCAACAAACCUUUUAAAUCCGUUUGGAGGUGUCUAGGUACAACAUGAGACGUAUGCGGAUGGCGUCUGUGAUUGUUGUGCAAAGUUCGUGCAUUCACUGCGCUGAGCUAUAGACUUGAUGAGCACUGCUACAGUGCCGCCUCUAUAUUUGUACUGGUGGUUAGGCAUUAGGCUGUAACCAGCCUUCUGCAACACCUGCUGGUCAGGAAAUCUUAAUGAUUCGCUCUAGCGAACGCCAGUACAAAUGAACAUUUUACGUUUAAUGAUUGAAGAACCGUGACUCUAAGUCACAAUCGACUAGCUUCAGCGAUGGAUCGGUCGAUUCGCGUAUCGAUGAAAAACGCAGCUAGCUGCGUUAUUUACCACGAAUUGCAGACGCUUAGAGUGGUGAAAAUUUGAACGCAUAGCGCCGUUGGGUUUCCCCUUCGGCACGUCUGGUUCAGGGUUGUUUUCAAAAUACUACAGUGUGGCCUGUUUGACACUGUUUGUCGAAUGACGCUUGUGCAAAUGUGUGCAAUCCUCAUUCUAGAUGAGAACUAUAUUGCAACAUGUACAUUGUGAACAACUCUGUACACGAAUGUCAUGACCGUGUUGUCACUGUCAAAAGAGUUCAGCGAGAAACGAACGCUUUGACAGGGCUUGUAUGACAACGGCGUUUUCAUGUCAUUUGCAA
rnacentral:misc_RNA from 1 species